rnacentral:rRNA from 1 species
UACGUAGGAACCGAGCGUUAUCCGGAUUCACUGGGCGUAAAGCGCGUGUAGGCGGUUCUAUAAGUCGGGUGUGAAAGCUCUUGGCUUAACUAAGAGAGGUCGUCCGAUACUAUAGGGCUUGAGGUCGGGAGAGGGACGUGGAAUUCCCGGUGUAGUGGUGGAAUGCGUAGAGAUCGGGAGGAACAUCAGUGGCGAAGGCGACGUCCUGGCCCGCACCUGACGCUCAGACGCGAAAGCGUGGGUAGCGAACGGGAUUAGAAACCCGGGUAGUCC